AAUGAACGCUGGCGGUAGGCCUAACACAUGCAAGUCGAACGGCAGCACAGUAAGAGCUUGCUCUUACGGGUGGCGCGUGGCGGAAGGGUGAGGAAUACAUCGGAAUCUACUUUUUCGUGGGGGAUAACGUAGGGAAACUUACGCUAAUACCGCAUACGACCUACGGGUGAAAGCCGGGGAUCUUCUGACCUUGCGCGAUUGUAUGAGCCGAUGUCGGAUUAGCUAGUUGGCGGGGUAAAGGCGCACCAAGGCGACGAUCCGUAGCUGGUCUGAGAGGAAGAUCAGCCACACUGGAACUGAGACACGGUCCAGACUCCUGCGGGAGGCAGCAGUGGGGAAUAUUAGACAAUGGGGGCAAGCCGGAUCCAGCAAUACCGCGUGGGUGAAGAAGGCGUUCGGGUUGUAAAGCCCUGUUGUUGGGAAAGAAAAGCAGCAGGUUAAUACGCGGCUGUACUGACGGUACCCAAAGAAUAAGCACCGGCUAACUUCGUG
rnacentral:rRNA from 1 species